rnacentral:rRNA from 1 species
AUUGAACGCUGGCGGCCUGCCUAACACAUGCCCGUCGAACGGUAACGCGGGGGCAACCCUGGCGACUAGUGGCGGACGGGUGAGUAAUACCUAGGAAUCUGCCCAUUUGUGGGGGAUAACCCGGCGAAAGCCGGGCUAAUACCGCAUACCCUCUACGGAGGAAAGCGGGGGAUCGUAAGACCUCGGGCAGAUGGAUGACCCUACCUCGGAUUACCUAGUUGGUAUGGUAACGGCCUACCCCGGCGACGAUCCGAAGCUGGUCUGAGAGGACCAUCAGCCACACUGGUACUGAGACACGGCCCAGACUCCUACGGGAAGCAUCAGUGGGGAAUAUUGGACAAUGGGGGCAACCCUGAUCCACCGAUGCCGCGUGUGUGAAGAAGGCCUGCGGGUUGUAAAUCUCUUUCCGAAGGGAAGAAAAAAUCGGAGCUAACACCUCCAAGCUUGACGUUACCCUUAGAAGAAGCACCGGCUAACUCCGUGC